rnacentral:rRNA from 1 species
AUUGAACGCUGGCGGCAGGCCUAACACAUGCAAGUCGAGCGAGCGGCGGACGGGUGAGUAAUGUAUGGGGACUGCCCGAUAGAGGGGGAUAACUACUGGAAACGGUAGCUAAUACCGCAUACCAUAGGAUAACCCAAAUGGGAUUAGGUAGUUGGUGAGGUAAUGGCUCACCAAGGCGACGAUCCCUAGCUGGUCUGAGAGGAUGAUCAGCCACACUGGGACUGAGACACGGCCCAGACUCCUACGGAGGCAGCAGUGGGGAAUAUUGCGCAAUGGGCGCAAGCCUGAGGCAGCCAUGCCGCGUGUAUGAAGAAGGCCCUAGGGUUGUAAAGUACUUUCAGUCGGGAGGCGUUACCUACAGAAGAAGCACCGGCUAACUCCGUGCCAGCCGCCGCGGUAAUUC